GUAGGUGGCAAGCGUUGUCCGGAAUUAUUGGGCGUAAAGCGCGCGCAGGUGGGUUCUUUAAGUCUGAUGUGAAAGCCCCCGGGCUCAACCGGGGAGGGUCAUUGGAAACUGGGGAACUUGAGUGCAGGAGAGGAAAGUGGAAUUCCACGUGUAGCGGUGAAAUGCGUAGAUAUGUGGAGGAACACCAGUGGCGAAGGCGACUUUCUGGCCUGUAACUGACACUGAGGCGCGAAAGCGUGGGGAGCAAACAGGAUUAGAUACCCUGGUCGUCCACGCCGUAAACGAUGAGUGCUAAGUGUUGGGGGGUUUCCGCCCCUCAGUGCUGCAGCUAACGCAUUAAGCACUCCGCCUGGGGAGUACGGUCGCAAGACUG
rnacentral:rRNA from 1 species